UUUGGACAUUACAAAGGUAUUGUAAUAAGACUUUAAUUGAGUGCUAAAAGAAUGGAAUUACAAAAAAAGGCUUUUUUAAUUUUAAAAAUUAAAAUUAUUUUUUUUUGUGAAGAAACAAAAAUUUAAAUUAAAGACAAGAAGACCCUAAGAAUUUUUUUUUUUAUUAAAAUAAUAUUUUAUUUUAAAAAUUUAAUUGGGGCGAUUAAUUAAAAUUAAAAACUUUAUUAACAAAAAAAAUGAUCCAUUAUUAAUGAUUAUUUGAUUAAAAUACUCUUGGGAUAACAGCGUAAUAAUUUUUGAUAGUUCUUAUAAAAAAAAUAGUUUGCGACCUCCAUGUUGGAUUAGGAUUCUUUUUUAAGGAAGAAGUUAAAAAAAGAAGUUUGUUCAACUUUUAAAUUCCUACUUGAUCUGAGUUCAAACCGGACGG
rnacentral:rRNA from 1 species